ACAGCAGUAGCCGCGGUAAUACGGAGGGUGCAAGCGUUAUCCGGAUUCACUGGGUUUAAAGGGUGCGUAGGCGGAUCUGUAAGUCAGUGGUGAAAUCUCCAGGCUUAACCUGGAAACUGCCGUUGAUACUAUAGGUCCUGAAUUUUGUGGAGGUUAGCGGAAUAUGUCAUGUAGCGGUGAAAUGCAUAGAUAUGACAUAGAACACCAAUUGCGAAGGCAGCUGGCUACACAACUAUUGACGCUGAGGCACGAAAGCGUGGGGAUCAAACAGGAUUAGAUACCCCCGUAGUCCCUGUCUCUUAUAC
rnacentral:rRNA from 1 species